AUUUAUGAAAAAUCCUAAUCUGACAAGUGCUGUAAUCUGCAAAUAAAUAGAGCAGCAUAGUGUCAGCAUUUUCACAGACACGCACACACACUCAGGAGAAGAGCUUCACCCCUACCUCCUGAGGCUGCUACGGGACAGGGAGUAAGUGCACCCAUGGUCUUCGCCCCUCUGGUCCACACAGCAAGCUCUGGCUCUGCAUCCUGUGUGAAGCAACAAAACAACGCAGACAAUUCUUUCCUCAAAUUUGGACCAAAGCUUCUGCAGCAGGAAGCCGAAGAAAGAAAGGCAACCCAUGUUGAGGUCCCUCCAAACCCCAUGAUCAACUUGACUGAAGGUGGCUGCAACUCAUUCAAAGAACGAGUUCUCUGAGAAAUUGUCAAGAUCAUAGCUGAACAUUUGCUUUUGAGACUCACUGGAAGCCAUGGAAGAGAACGUAGCAGAACUCCUCCUCCUGGGAGGAAAGAGGAGUAGAUCUCCCCCUUUCCCUUUCUUCUUCUUUUUCUUCUUUCUUUCUUUCUUUUUUUUUUUUUGCUUCAGUUUUUCAUUUAAUUCAGAUAAUUUCCUUUGUGGUUUAUAUCUUAAAUAUUACCAUAAAAAGGAAAGGCUUCAGACGGAAACAUCCUAU
rnacentral:lncRNA from 1 species